rnacentral:tRNA from 1 species
GGGCUCAUAGCUCAGUUGGUUAGAGCACACGAUUGAUAAGCGUGGGGUCGAUGGUUCAAGUCCAUCUGGGCCCACCA